rnacentral:rRNA from 1 species
CAGUCGCCGCGGGAAUACGUAGGGGGCGAGCGUUGUCCGAAGUUACUGGGCGUAAAGAGCGCGUAGGCUGGUCUUUAAGUGAGUGGUGAAAGGUUCGGGCUCAACCCGGACACUGCCUUUCAUACUGGGGACCUUGAGUGUGGGAGAGGCGAGUGGAAUGGUCGGUGUAGCGGUGAAAUGCGUAGAUAUCGAUCGGAACACCCAUGGCGAAGGCAGCUCGCUGGCCUAACACUGACGCUGAGGCGCGAAAGCGUGGGGAGCAAACAGGAUUAGAUACCCCCGUAGUCCCUGUCUCUUAUAA